rnacentral:lncRNA from 1 species
ACGUGCUCUGACAAUGCUAACUUGGGAGGCAACAGCCUGGGUCUGGAAGAUUCAAGGAGCACUGGAGAAUGAGAUGGGAUCUAGCAUUGACUUUGAAGACAUUUUUACAUUGGAGGCAGAUAUCAACCUUUCCCAACUCUUCAUCACCCUCACAGACAAAGACCAAGUGCAAGCCCAUGAAAACUGGAGUUAUCAGCAGCCCCUCCAACCAGGUGAGGAAGAAUGACCACAAAGCCUCCAAGCUCCUUAAUAGAGUUUCUUGCGCUGAUAUUCAGUGCCAGGACCUGGUAGACGUAGAGGGGGCUGUGGGAAGUGCUGGGGACAGAGAAGGAGCUAUUGAUAACAUCCAAAAGCAUUUGAAGACAAGGCUCCCAAAGCAGUCCCAGAAGAAGACACAGCAGAGCUAGAGGACAGGGGCAAGAAAAGCAAAGUGGGCCAGAGAACAACUCCAAGAAACAGAGGAACUUAAGAGGUCAAGGAACAGAGUAAAAACAGAAGAGAAGCCCACCAUCACCAAGACCAAGAGGAAGAGGAAUCCACCUGAGCUCAGCCACAACAUCUUUAAAAGGUCUCGAACCCACCUCAGCAUGUACAUGCUGGAGUCCAUGAAGGUCUUUCACACACUAGGGAAGAAGGGUGAAAAGAAACCUGGCAUCUUCCUCUAAGGUGGUCUGAAAACAUUCAGCAGCAACAAAGAUCCUGCACUAGGCCCAGACAUCACAGAAAUGAUGGAUAUGCUACAUGGGGUCAAGGUUCUAAAAAGAACCCAGGCAAGAAUCAGAGAGAGCAGAGAGCAGUACUCAUGGGAAUGUCCAUCUCGGUCCCAGUACGAACUACCCCACCUGAGCAAGUCAGGUUAGUACCUCUGUCUUUCCCAACACUGGACAAGCCUCGAGCAAGACCUGAUUUUAAAAGCCUCUCUCCCUGGCUUCACACAGGGCCACAGCAUCUUAUACUGUAGGUAAUUAUUCCCACUCAGCUCAGCCUACCACACUCAGGCCACACCAACCAGCUCCUGUCAGGACAUCUUUGAUGGCCUCUGCCAAAGCAGCCCUGGCAAUUUUUUCCAGUGCCACAUGACAUUAUGUAACCAACCCAUCCAGUCUAGUGCUGUGCUUCAUUUCUCUGCCUCAACGCCUGAACCUUAUGGAGCACCAUCUUACAAUUCACUCCAGGAGGGGGCCAUGAAGAAGGGAACUCAACAGGAAUUAGAGAAUGCUGCCAAGUAUACCUCUUCUGGGAAACUACAGAUUUUCCUUCAGAGGGAAAAGGAUAUGGAAAUUUCUCGAUAUUAUAGCUAUGCAAUUUAA